CAGCAGCCGCGCUAAUACGUAGGUGGCAAGCGUUCUCCGGAAUUAUUGGGCGUAAAGGGCUUGCAGGCGGUCUCUUAACUCUGAAGUGAAAGCCCCCGGCUCAACCGGGGAGGCUCAUUGGAAACUGGGAAACUUGAGUGCAGGAAGAGGAGAGUGGAAUUCCACGUGUAGCGGUGAAAUGCGUAGAGAUGUGGAGGAACACCAGUGGCGAAGGCGACUCCUCUGGUCUGUAACUGACGGCUGAGGAGCGAAAGCGUGGGGAGCGAACAGGAUUAGAUACCUUCUGGUAGUCCACGCCGUAAACGGAUGAGUGCUAAGUGUUAGGGGUCUCCGCCCCUUAGUGCUGCAGCUAACGCAUUAAGCACUCCGCCUGGGGAGUACGGUCGCAAGACUGAAACUCAAAGGAAUUGAGGG
rnacentral:rRNA from 1 species